AUUGAACGCUGGCGGCAGGCCUAACACAUGCAAGUCGAGCGGUUGAAGUGAGCUUGCUCCUGGAUUCAGCGGCGGACGGGUGAGUAAUGCCUAUGAAUCUGCCUGGUAGUGUGGGAUAACGUCCGGAAACGGGCGCUAAUACCGCAUACUUCCUUAGGUAGAAAUUUGGUGUUCUUCGGACCUCACGCUAUCAUAUGAGCCUAGGUCGGAUUAGCUAGUUGGUGGGGUAAAGGCCUACCAAGGCGACGAUCCGUAACUGGUCUGAGAGGAUGAUCAGUCACACUGGAACUGAGAAACGGUACAGAGUAGUACGGGAGGAAGCAGUGGGGAAUAUUGGACAAUGGGCGAAAGCAGGAUAAAGAAAUGCCGAGUGUGUGAAGAAGGUCUUCGGAUUGGAAAGAAAUUUAAGUUGGGAGGAAGGGAAGUAAGAUAAUAAAUAGAUGUAUUGACGGUAACAAAAGAAUAAGCACCGGCUAACUACGUG
rnacentral:rRNA from 1 species